rnacentral:rRNA from 1 species
GAUGAACGCUGGCGGCGUGCCUAAUACAUGCAAGUCGAGCGAACAGACGAGGAGCUUGCUCCUUCGACGUUAGCGGCGGACGGGUGAGUAACACGUAGGUAACCUACCUAUAAGACUGGGAUAGCUUCGGGAAACCGGAGCUAAUACCGGAUAAUAUUUCGAACCGCACGGUUCGAUAGUGAAAGAUGGCUUUGCUAUCACUUAUAGAUGGACCUGCGCCGUAUUAGCUAGUUGGUAAGGUAACGGCUUACCAAGGCAACGAUACGUAGCCGACCUGAGAGGGUGAUCGGCCACACUGGAACUGAGACACGGUCCAGACUCCUACGGGAGGCAGCAGUAGGGAAUCUUCCGCAAUGGGCGAAAGCCUGACGGAGCAACGCCGCGUGAGUGAUGAAGGUCUUCGGAUCGUAAAACUCUGUUAUUAGGGAAGAACAAACGUGUAAGUAACUGUGCACGUCUUGACGGUACCUAAUCAGAAAGCCACGGCUAACUACGUG